rnacentral:snRNA from 1 species
GUGCUCGAUGCAGCACCACAUAUAAUAAAAUUGGAAUGAUACAGAGAAGAUUGGCAUGGCCCCUGUGCAAGGAUGACACGCAAAUUCAUGAAGUGUUUCAUAGUUCA